AGCCACCACACCCUAGCCCUGAGUCUGUUUAUGCUUCUGUCAGGUGUGGCAUGGGCCUGCCUGGGAGCUAUUCUUUUUCUGUAAAGCACAGGCAGUUAAUCAGUGGUCUCUGGGAAGAAUCCAGCUCAGGGUUAUAUUUCGUUUGACCCACUCAAGUUUUAAAAAGUAAAUUAGUUGCCAAUGUGCAAACAUUAGAAGAGUUCACAGCUUCUCCAACAAUACCUAGAAGUUCAUCCGAUGGUGCCCGCAUUCCCUGCUCUGUCUAGAUGGUGCCCACAUUCCCUGCUCCGUCCAGACAGUGCCCACAUUCCCUGCUCUGUCUAGAUGGUGCCCACAUUCCCUGCUCCGUCCGGACGGUGCCCACAUUCCCUGCUCCAUCCGGACGGUGCCCACAUUCCCUGCUCCGUCCGGACGGUGCCCACAUUCCCUGCUCCGUCCGGACGGUGCCCACAUUCCCUGCUCUGUCCAGAUGGUGCCCACAUUCCCUGCUCCAUCUGGACGGUGCCCACAUUCCCUCCUCUGUCUAGACAGUGCCCACAUUCCCUGCUCCGUCCGGACGGUGCCCACAUUCCCUGCUCUGUCUGGACGGUGCUCACAUUCCCUGCUCUGUCUAGACAGUGCCCACAUUCCCUGCUCCAUCCAGACGGUGCCCAUACUCCCUGCUCUGUCUAGAUGGUGUCCACAUUCCCUGCUCCGUCUAGACUGUGCCCAUAUUCGCUGCUGGCUGCAAAUGCGAGGAGUUGACAGCAGCCUCCCCUUUACAAGGCAGGAGGUGCCACUGUUCGCCAUUGUCUCCACCUAGGGCUUCACUUGCUUUCUAUCUGCAGACAUCAGAGGGACCCACAUCUCUCUGUUCUGACACGCUGUGUGUUGAUGGCAGAGUUUAAUUAUCCACAUGCAAUCUUACUUUCCUUAUUCCCAAGUCCGUGGGGCUGCCUCAUCAAAGCAUUGUAAGAACUGAUAACCAUCUUCUAGAAGUAUCAUAGUGAUAUUAAGAACACACAUCACAGAUCAUAGUAAAUGGCUUUAAUUUUUUAGCGAAAUCUCACUACUGCAA
rnacentral:lncRNA from 10 species